ACUCAACACACUGAUUCUGCGUGGAUGCAGUAUUACAGAGAAACAGUGUCUCAUCCUGACUUCAGCUCUGUGUUCAAACCUUUCACACCUGAGAGAACUGGACCUGAGUGAGAAUAAAAUAGAAAACAAAGGAAUGAAGCAUGUAUCUGAAACACUGAAGGAUGAACGCUGUAAACUGGAGAGAUUGAGGUUAAGAUACUGUGAUAUGACAGAUGAAGGUUGUUCUGCGCUGACUUCAGCUCUGAAAUCAAACCCAUCACAUCUGAGAGAGCUGGACCUGAGUGAGAAUGAACUAGGAGACUCUGGAGUUGAAAAACUCAGUGAUCUACUGAAGAACCCACAAUGCAAACUGGAAAUACUAGUGUUAGUAUCAUUAUACU